CUAUUUGGGGUCGGUCACUCUCGACCUAAACUUCCACUUGACUCGAUCCCCCAUAUCGUCCUCAAAUACCUCUCCCAAACGGCGUAUCAUUCUCAAACGUAUCCGAGUAUCCGACCACAUGUUUAUCAGCCUUCCUCUCCUCUUAUUUCUUCCUAAAUUUUGUAUUUACUUGAAAAAGAAUGCCAAAUUCUCGGUUUGAAAAA